AAGGCAAAUCAGUUUGUCGCUGUUUCGCUUGCGAAAGAGAGGAAAGUCUGGGCAGUACAGAGCACCGUACUUCCUAACGGGAAGGGUUCAUCGAAAGAUGGAUACAGAAAGUGCCACAGAAAUAAGUAGCCUUGAGGUCAAACUUAAGGUCAUAGUGAAAAGGCGAGGUAAGAGCUCACCGCAUCAAUGGUGACAUUGUUGGCUAGGUAAACCUUACGGACUGAAAGACCAUGUAAACCAAGGCUUAAGAGCUGCUCGCUCAACUUGGAGGGUAGGUCGAUUGAUCCCGAUUGUGAAGUCGGGACUAGAUAAAUGACAAACAGCCAUUUUUUCUUAAAAUGGUGUACAGGACCCGGCUUAUGAUUUGCCUUUUUG
rnacentral:RNase_P_RNA from 1 species